CACCACAAGUGGAUGAAGCUGCCAGCAUGAUCUGAUCUAUCGACUAACAUUGCUAUGGCAAGAUUCAGAUCAUUAUGGCAGUUUCAUCUGCUCUUGGG
rnacentral:pre_miRNA from 1 species